AAAGUCACUGAUCCUAUGCUGCCAAGAAAAGCCUAGCAGCGAGUUGGCACGGUGCCCGUACCCCAAACCAACACAGGUGGAUAGGUAGAGAAUACCAAGGCGAUUGGGAGAACUGUGGUUAAGGAACUCGGCAAAAUGCAUGCGUAACUUCGGGAUAAGCAUGACCUCGUUAGGGUGAAGGGACUUGCUCCCGGAGCUCGAAGAGGUGGCACAGAAUUGGGGGAAGCGACUGUUUACUAAAAACACAGCAGCGUGCGAAGCCGAAAGGCGCUGUAUACGCUGUGACGCCUGCCCAAUGCUGGAAGGUCACGGGGAAGGGUUAGCCCUAGGGCGAAGCUCUGAACCUAAGCCCCAGUGAAUGGCGGCCGUAACUAUAACGGUCCUAAGGUAGCGAAAUUCCUUGUCGGGUAAGUUCCGACCUGCACGAAUGGCGUAACGACUUCCCUACCGUCUCAACCACAGACCCAGCGAAAUUGAAGUACGAGUAAAGAUGCUCGUUAGCUGUAGAAGGACGGAAAGACCCCGUGGACCUUUACUAUAGCUUGAUAUUGAGUCUUGUCAUGCGUUGUGUAGGAUAGGUGGGAGGCUAGGAAGCAUGCACGCCAGUGUGUGUGGAGCCACCCUUGAAAUACCACCCUGCGUAUGGCGGGACUCUCACCCUGACCCGUUAUCCGGGCCGGGGACAGUGUCAGGUGGGUAGUUUGACUGGGGCGGUCGCCUCCUAAAGAGUAACGGAGGCGCCCAAAGGUUCCCUCAGACUGGUUGGCAAUCAGUCGUCGAGCGCAAUGGCAUAAGGGAGCUUGACUGCGAGACGUACAGGUCGAGCAGGUGCGAAAGCAGGGCAUAGUGAUCCGGCGGUUGCGUGUGGAAGCGCCGUCGCUCAACGGAUAAAAGGUACCCCGGGGAUAACAGGCUAAUCUUCCCCAAGAGUCCAUAUCGACGGGAAGGUUUGGCACCUCGAUGUCGGCUCAUCGCAUCCUGGGGCUGAAGCAGGUCCCAAGGGUUGGGCUGUUCGCCCAUUAAAGCGGUACGCGAGCUGGGUUUGGAACGUCGUGAGACAGUUCGGUCCCUAUCCUCUACAGCCGGAAGUGACUUGAGAAAAGCUGUCCCUAGUACGAGAGGACCGAGAUGGACGCAGCUCUCGUGUGCCAGUUGUCCUGCCAAGGGCAUGGCUGGUUAGCGACCUGCGGGCGAGAUAACCGCUGAAAGCAUCUAAGCGGGAAGCUCCUUUCAAGAUGAGGUCACUCACAGGGUCAACCUGGUAAGGCCCGUGGUAGACCACCACGUUGAUAGGCCGGAAGUGUAAGCGCGGUAACGCGUUCAGCUGACCGGUACUAAUCGGCCGAGGGCUUGGCCAG
rnacentral:rRNA from 1 species